rnacentral:rRNA from 1 species
GUGAGGAAUAUUGGUCAAUGGGCGCAAGCCUGAACCAGCCAUCCCGCGUGCAGGAAGAAGGCGCUAUGCGUUGUAAACUGCUUUUCCAGGGGAAGAAAACUUCCAUCGUGAUGGGACUUGCCGGUACCCUGGGAAUAAGCAUCGGCUAACUCCGUGCCAGCAGCCGCGGUAAUACGGAGGAUGCGAGCGUUAUCCGGAUUUAUUGGGUUUAAAGGGUGCGUAGGCGGAUUAAUAAGUCAGUGGUGAAAACCUGCAGCUUAACUGUAGACUUGCCAUUGAUACUGUUAGUCUUGAGUACGGUCAAGGUAGGCGGAAUGUGUAAUGUAGCGGUGAAAUGCUUAGAUAUUACACAGAACACCGAUUGCGAAGGCAGCUUACUGGGCCAUUACUGACGCUGAUGCACGAAAGCGUGGGGAGCGAACAGGAUUAGAAACCCCAGUAGUCC